rnacentral:tRNA from 1 species
GCGGGUGUAGCUCAGUUGGUAGAGUCCGAGCUUCCCAAGCUCGUUGUCGCGGGUUCGAGUCCCGUCGCCCGCUCCA